rnacentral:rRNA from 1 species
AGCUUGGUAGUUUCCACCGCCCGUCCAGGGUUGAGCCCUGGGAUUUGAUGGCGGACUUGAAAAGCCACCUACAGAUGCUUUACGCCCAAUCAUUCCAGAUAACGCUUGCAUCCUCUGUCUUACCGCGGCUGCUGGCACAGAGUUAGCUGAUGCUUAUUCCUCAGAUACCGUCGUUGUUUCUUCUCCGAGAAAAGAAGUUGACGACCCGUAGGCCUUCCACCUCCACGCGGCAUUGCUCCGUCAGGCUUUCGCCCAUUACGGAAAAUUCCCCACUGCUGCCUCCCAUAGGAGUCUGGGCUGUGUCUCUGUCCCAGUGUGGCUGAUCAUCCUCUCGGACCAGCUACUGAUCAUCGCCUUGGUAAGCUAUUACCUCACCAACUAGCUAAUAAGACGCGAGCCCCUCCUUCGGCGGAUUUCACACGGAAUGAUUGGGCAUAGAGCGUCUUUAGGUGGCUUUUCAAGUCCGCCGUCAAAUCCCAGGGCCCAACCCUGGACAGGCGGUGGAAACUACCAAGCUAGAGUACGGUAGGGGCAGAGGGAAUUUCCGGUGGAGCGGUGAAAUGCAUUGAGAUCGGAAAGAACACCAACGGCGAAAGCACUCUGCUGGGCCGACACUAACACUAAGAGAAGAAAGAUAGGGGAGCAAAUGGGAUUAGAGACCCCGGUAGUCUUAGCAAUAACGAUGGAUACUAGGUGCUGUGCGACUCGACCCGUGCAGUGAUGUAGCUAACGCGUUAAGUAUCCCGCCUGGGAGUAGGUUCGCAAGAAUGAAACUCAAAGGAAUUAAUGGGGGCCCGCACAAGCAGUGGAGCAUGUGGUUUAAUUUGAUACAAAGCAAAGAACCUUAAGAGGGCUUGACAUGCCGCGAAUCCUCUUGAAAGAGAGGGGUGCCCUCGGGAACGCGGACACAGGUGGUGCAUGGCUGUUGUCAUCUCGUGCCGUAAGGUGUUGGGUUAAGUCUCACAAUGAGCGCCACCCUCGUGUUUAGUUGCCACUAUGAGUUUGGAACCCUGAAAAGACUGCCGGUGUUAAGCCGGAGGAAAGAGAGAAUGAGGCCAAGUCAUCAUGCCCCUUAUGCCCUGGGCGACACACAUGCUACAAUGGGCGGGACAAAGGGUCGCGAUCUCUCAAGGGUGAGCUAAAUCCAAAAACCCGUCCUUAGUUCUGAUUCCAGGCUGCAACUCGCUUGCAUGAAGCAGGAAUCGCUAGUAAUUGUCGGUCAGCCAUACGGCGGUGAAUCCGUUCCCGGGCCUUGUACAUACCGCCCGUCACACUAUAGGAGCUGGCCAUGUUUGAAGUCAUUACCCUUAACCGUAAGGAGGGUGAUGCCUAAGGCUAGGCUUGCGACUGGAGUGAAAUCGUAACAAGGUAGCCGUACUGGAAGGUGCGGCUG